GGUGAGUAACACGUGGAUAACCUACCUAUAAGACUGGGAUAACUACGGGAAACCGGAGCUAAUACCGGAUAAUAUAUUGAACCGCAUGGUUCAAUAGUGAAAGACGGUUUUGCUGUCACUUAUAGAUGGAUCCGCGCCGCAUUAGCUAGUUGGUAAGGUAACGGCUUACCAAGGCAACGAUGCGUAGCCGACCUGAGAGGGUGAUCGGCCACACUGGAACUGAGACACGGUCCAG
rnacentral:rRNA from 1 species